rnacentral:lncRNA from 1 species
AUGGAAGAUGAGUUUUUGGAAGAGACUUUUGCCUUUUCACAGAGAGCCACCUUCAGCCUGAGUCUUCCAGUUGCCUUCGACUUGAAUCUUCAUUUGGAGACCAGCCUCUUGGAGGUGACUUUGCAUUUGGACAUUCGUUUUGACUUGGGACCUUGGCUCUUGAACCGUUUCUUGGGUGAGUGAGUAGUUGGCCUUCCUUUCCUUGCUUCUGGAGAGAUUAGUUCCAGAGAGUUCUUCCCCUCUUGAAGGAGACUGUGGAGGUGGAACACCAGGUCCUACUGUUGAGUUUUAACAAGCUCUGAUAGGCUAGACAUCUUUCUACCCUUUUUUGUAUUCCUCUACUUUCACUCUUUCCACCUUUUUGUAAAUAAAGCUACUAAAAGUCGUUUUGGCUUGAGCUAU